rnacentral:rRNA from 1 species
UACAGAGGGUGCAAGCGUUAAUCGGAAUUACUGGGCGUAAAGCGUGCGUAGACGGUUGCGUAAGUCAGAUGUGAAAGCCCCGGGCUCAACCUGGGAAUUGCAUUUGAGACUGCGUAGCUAGGGUGCGGAAGAGGGAAGCGGAAUUUCCGGUGUAGCGGUGAAAUGCGUAGAUAUCGGAAGGAACACCAGUGGCGAAAGCGGCUUCCUGGUCCAGCACCGGCGUUCAGGCACGAAAGCGUGGGGAGCAAACAGG